GUGUGUGGACGCAGAUGGCGGCGGCGCAGGGCGCCUGAGCGGGCCGGGGCCAUGAGCGCCGCCCGGCCCCAGUUCAGCAUUGAUGAUGCCUUCGAGCUGUCCCUGGAGGACGGGGGCCCUGGGCCCGAGUCCAGCGGGGUCGCGCGCUUUGGGCCGCUGCACUUCGAGCGUCGGGCCCGGUUCGAGGUGGCUGACGAGGACAAGCAGUCCCGGCUGCGCUACCAGAACCUGGAGAACGAUGAGGAUGGAGCCCAGGCCUCUCCGGAGCCGGAUGGGGGAGUCGGCACCAGGGAUUCCAGCCGAACUUCCAUCCGCAGCUCCCAGUGGUCCUUCAGCACCAUCAGCAGCAGCACCCAGCGCUCCUACAACACCUGCUGCAGGUGAGCCUGCCCGCCUG
rnacentral:sRNA from 1 species